AACGAACGCUGGCGGCGUGGAUAAGACAUGCAAGUCGAACGGGACAGACCGAGUAGCAAUAUUUGGAAUGUUCAGUGGCGAACGGGUGCGUAACACGUGGAUAACAUUCCGGAAAGCGGGGAAUAGCCCAGGGAAACUUGGAUUAAUACCGCAUGUGGCCGCAAGGCUAAAGACGGGGACCGCAAGGCCUGUCACUUUCCGAUUGGUCCGCGGCCUAUCAGCUAGUUGGCGGGGUAAUGGCCCACCAAGGCUACGACGGGUAGCUGGUCUUAGAGGACGACCAGCCACACUGGAACUAAGACACGGUCCAGACACCUACGGGUGGCAGCAGUCGAGAAUCUUUCACAAUGGGGGCAACCCUGAUGGAGCGACGCCACGUGGAGGAUAAGGUCUUCGGAUUGUAAACUCCUGUCAUGCGAGAACAAGGUACUCAGGCUAAUAACCUGAUUGUUUGAUGGUACCGCAAGAGGAAGAGACGGCUAACUCUGUGCCAGCAGCCGCCGUAACAC
rnacentral:rRNA from 1 species